rnacentral:ncRNA from 2 species
AAACUGAAGGCAUAAACAGCUCGUAUAAAUCCGGGGAUAGGGCCCGGAAGUUUCUACCCGGGAACCGUAAAUUUCCGGACUACGGGGAAUUAAAAGACAUCA